rnacentral:misc_RNA from 1 species
AUGAAGAACGUAGCGAAAUGCGAUAAGUAGUGUGAAUUGCAGAAUUCAGUGAAUCAUCGAAUCUUUGAACGCACAUUGCGCCCUUUGGUAUUCCAAAGGGCAUGCCUGUUCGAGCGUCAUUUGUACCCUCAAGCUUUGCUUGGUGUUGGGCGUCUUGUCUCUAGCUUUGCUGGAGACUCGCCUUAAAGUAAUUGGCAGCCGGCCUACUGGUUUCGGAGCGCAGCACAAGUCGCACUCUCUAUCAGCAAAGGUCUAGCAUCCAUUAAACCUUUUUUUCAACUUUUGACCUCGGAUCAGGUAGGGAUACCCGCUGAACUUAAGCAUAUCAAUAAGCGGAGGA